CUGCCCUUCACUGGGGAAUAGCCUUCUGAAAAGGAGAUUAAUACCCCAUAAAAUAGCAAAGUGGCAUCACUUAACUAUUAAAGUUCCGGCGGUGAAGGAUGAGCGUGCGUCCUAUUAGGUAGUUGGUAGGGUAACGGCCUACCAAGCCGACGAUAGGUAGCUGGUGUGAGAGCACGACCAGCCACACGGGCACUGAGACACGGGCCCGACUCCUACGGGAGGCAGCAGUGAGGAAUAUUGGUCAAUGGGCGAAAGCCUGAACCAGCCAUGCCGCGUGGAGGAUGAAGGCCCUCUGGGUUGUAAACUUCUUUUAUCAGGGAAGAAAAGUACUAUUUCUAUGGUAUCCGACGGUACCUGAUGAAUAAGCACCGGCUAACUCCGUGCCAGCAGCCGCGGUAAU
rnacentral:rRNA from 1 species